rnacentral:rRNA from 1 species
CUCAGUUCGGAUUGGAGUCUGNAACCCGAACUCCAUGAAGCUGGAUUCGCUAGUAAUCGCGCAUCAGCCACGGCGCGGUGAAUACGUUCCCGGGCCUUGUACACACCGCCCGUCAAGCCAUGGGAGCCGGGGGUACCUGAAGUGCGUGACCGCAAGGAGCGCCCUAAGGUAAAACCGGUGACUGGGGCUAAGUCGUAACAAGGUACC